rnacentral:rRNA from 1 species
UGUUUCGGCAAGGGGGUCAUCCCGACUUACCAACCCGAUGCAAACUGCGAAUACCGGAGAAUGUUAUCACGGGAGACACACGGCGGGUGCUAACGUCCGUCGUGAAGAGGGAAACAACCCAGACCGCCAGCUAAGGUCCCAAAGUCAUGGUUAAGUGGGAAACGAUGUGGGAAGGCCCAGACAGCCAGGAUGUUGGCUUAGAAGCAGCCAUCAUUUAAAGAAAGCGUAAUAGCUCACUGGUCGAGUCGGCCUGCGCGGAAGAUGUAACGGGGCUAAACCAUGCACCGAAGCUGCGGCAGCGACGCUUAUGCGUUGUUGGGUAGGGGAGCGUUCUGUAAGCCUGUGAAGGUGUGCUGUGAGGCAUGCUGGAGGUAUCAGAAGUGCGAAUGCUGACAUAAGUAACGAUAAAGCGGGUGAAAAGCCCGCUCGCCGGAAGACCAAGGGUUCCUGUCCAACGUUAAUCGGGGCAGGGUGAGUCGACCCCUAAGGCGAGGCCGAAAGGCGUAGUCGAUGGGAAACAGGUUAAUAUUCCUGUACUUGGUGUUACUGCGAAGGGGGGACGGAGAAGGCUAUGUUGGCCGGGCGACGGUUGUCCCGGUUUAAGCGUGUAGGCUGGUUUUCCAGGCAAAUCCGGAAAAUCAAGGCUGAGGCGUGAUGACGAGGCACUACGGUGCUGAAGCAACAAAUGCCCUGCUUCCAGGAAAAGCCUCUAAGCAUCAGGUAACAUCAAAUCGUACCCCAAACCGACACAGGUGGUCAGGUAGAGAAUACCAAGGCGCUUGAGAGAACUCGGGUGAAGGAACUAGGCAAAAUGGUGCCGUAACUUCGGGAGAAGGCACGCUGAUAUGUAGGUGAAGUCCCUCGCGGAUGGAGCUGAAAUCAGUCGAAGAUACCAGCUGGCUGCAACUGUUUAUUAAAAACACAGCACUGUGCAAACACGAAAGUGGACGUAUACGGUGUGACGCCUGCCCGGUGCCGGAAGGUUAAUUGAUGGGGUCAGCGCAAGCGAAGCUCUUGAUCGAAGCCCCGGUAAACGGCGGCCGUAACUAUAACGGUCCUAAGGUAGCGAAAUUCCUUGUCGGGUAAGUUCCGACCUGCACGAAUGGCGUAAUGAUGGCCAGGCUGUCUCCACCCGAGACUCAGUGAAAUUGAACUCGCUGUGAAGAUGCAGUGUACCCGCGGCAAGACGGAAAGACCCCGUGAACCUUUACUAUAGCUUGACACUGAACAUUGAGCCUUGAUGUGUAGGAUAGGUGGGAGGCUUAGAAGUGUGGACGCCAGUCUGCAUGGAGCCGACCUUGAAAUACCACCCUUUAAUGUUUGAUGUUCUAACGUUGACCCGUAAUCCG